AUGAUUAGUAGUUCUUAGUUGUGCUUUAAACUCACAGUGAUGCCCCGACACGACGUCGGGGCAAGCAACCAGUGACACGAUGUCACAUUGGUUGCGUUCACGUUCGUUUACAUUACAUAAAUCAGCACAUCUUAGAACUACUUAUCA
rnacentral:ncRNA from 1 species